UUGGGUUGUCCCGCUAUUGAUGGCACGUUUCCUUUUUUGGAAAAAAUAAGGGAGUGAUUAAUGUUAAUUAAAACCUAAUUAAAAGCCUAAUUAAAACAACUUUCAAACCUACCCUCACUCUAACUCUCUCUCUCUCUCUCGAUUACUCUCACUUUCUCACCCUCGCCGCCUCACCCUCCUCCACGGCGACGGCGCGGCGACUCCGCGUCCACCCACCCUCCUCCGCCGCCUCCACCCUGUUUCAGGUAACCCCAUUCUUUCUCUCUCUUUCGAGAUCUAUUUCUCCCUGCCCUCUCUCUGCUCUCCCUCUCGAUCUCCGUUUAUCUCUUGUUUGCGGCGGCCGCUGCGAGCCGGGGCGGCGCAUGCAGCACCGUCCGCCGCCGCCGCCGCCUCUGCUCCCUCUUUCUUCUUCGCUCACUCCGCCUCCAUGUCCCUCUCAGAUCUAUCUCCUAGCGCACAUCGACUUCACCACCUCCUAGCGCUCGUAGCAGCGGCGACGGCGGAGUGCUCCACAGACUCCAGCGACUUCACAGACUUCACACCCCUCUCUAUAGAAGAACCGAGCCCUAGAUCCCCAAUGUUCCCACUCGAUUUCAG
rnacentral:lncRNA from 1 species